ACGGGUGAGUAACACGUAAGGAACCUGCCUCAAGGAUUGGGAUAACUCCGAGAAAUCGGAGCUAAUACCGGAUAGUUCAUCGGACCGCAUGGUCCGUUGAUGAAAGGCGCUUCGGCGUCACCUUGAGAUGGCCUUGCGGUGCAUUAGCUAGUUGGUGGGGUAACGGCCCACCAAGGCGACGAUGCAUAGCCGACCUGAGAGGGUGAUCGGCCACACUGGGACUGAGACACGGCCCAGACUCCUACGGGAGGCAGCAGUAGGGAAUCUUCCACAAUGGACGAAAGUCUGAUGGAGCAACGCCGCGUGAGUGAUGAAGGUUUUCGGAUCGUAAAACUCUGUUGUAAGGGAAGAACACGUACGAGAGGAAAUGCUCGUACCUUGACGGUACCUUACGAGAAAGCCACGGCUAACUACGUGCCAGCAGCCGCGGUAAUACGUAGGUGGCAAGCGUUGUCCGGAAUUAUUGGGCGUAAAGCGCGCGCAGGCGGCCUUUUAAGUCUGAUGUGAAAGCCCCCGGCUCAACCGGGGAGGGCCAUUGGAAACUGGAAGGCUUGAGUACAGAAGAGAAGA
rnacentral:rRNA from 1 species